CCAAUAGCGUAUAUUAAAGUUGUUGCAGUUAAAAAGCUCGUAGUUGAAUUUCGGGACUAACAGGUUGGUCGCGCCAUUGGUGUGUACUGGUCUAGUUGGUUUCUCCCUUCUGACGAACCACGAUGUCAUUAAUUUGGUGUCGUGGGAAAUCAGGACUGUUACUUUGAAAAAAUUAGAGUGUUUAAAGCAAGCGUUAGCUU
rnacentral:rRNA from 1 species